CCCCCCCCCUAGCAGCUAGCACGCACCAAUUGAACCUAGCACGCAACAAUUUGACCUCUUUGGCUCAAGAUGCUUUCCUGACCUUGGUGGGGAAUAUGCUACGAGAUAUGAAGAACAGGGCUGAUGGCAAAGCAGGGUCGAUUUUUACUGCUGGAAACCCAUUUUCUUGUCAUGGCUAAGACUAUGGUUGGCUCAUCAGAAACACGAGGUACAUUGUUAGGCGAAUGCUUCUGGACUUCAGGUGCUCUGAUGGAAGCCGGCUGUCUGAACUGUCGUACACUGACAUCGACUGCGACAUGGGUGGAAGAAACAGGUUUAAUUAAACGAGUAAACAUUA